AAAGCGUAAUAGCUCACUGGUCGAGUCGGCCUGCGCGGAAGAUGUAACGGGGCUAAACCAUGCACCGAAGCUGCGGCAGCGACACUAUGUGUUGUUGGGUAGGGGAGCGUUCUGUAAGCCUGUGAAGGUGUGCUGUGAGGCAUGCUGGAGGUAUCAGAAGUGCGAAUGCUGACAUAAGUAACGAUAAAGCGGGUGAAAAGCCCGCUCGCCGGAAGACCAAGGGUUCCUGUCCAACGUUAAUCGGGGCAGGGUGAGUCGACCCCUAAGGCGAGGCCGAAAGGCGUAGUCGAUGGGAAACAGGUUAAUAUUCCUGUACUUGGUGUUACUGCGAAGGGGGGACGGAGAAGGCUAUGUUGGCCGGGCGACGGUUGUCCCGGUUUAAGCGUGUAGGCUGGUUUUCCAGGCAAAUCCGGAAAAUCAAGGCUGAGGCGUGAUGACGAGGCACUACGGUGCUGAAGCAACAAAUGCCCUGCU
rnacentral:rRNA from 1 species